GAUGAACUUGAUUUCUUCAAGUUGUCAGAUGUCCUCUUUUCUUUUUUUCCCCAGUAGUUUGCUGGAAUAGGCUCAGAUAUUUUACAUAUAGCUACAUUUAGUAGCAUUUGCAAAAUGACUGUAAAUCUGCCAUCAAAGUGCUUGUUUAUACAUAAAGGCAUACAACUUCAGAAGAACCUGUUACAUAUUCCAGUUGCUCCUGGACUCACUAAGAAGGUAAGAGGGAAACACAGUGAUGACGGGUUGUAAAAUCAAGAGCAAGGACAUAAAGCAGAGCAAUAGGUCAGAGUGUAUGAACCAGACUUGUGGGUGAAACCAGUGUUGGAAAGGUACUCCAGGAGGACAAUUCCUGUGCUCCAGCCAGACGGCACAUGGGACCAGACUGAAAAACAUAGCCACGCAUACAAUAUGAAUGUGGGGUCCUCGUUUCCGACUUCAGCUCUGCUCCCAUUUGGCUCUUUAGCCUUCUAACAUAGAUACAACCAUCUGACACCCAGCAUCCAUCAGCAGAUAAGAAAUUAUUAUUGCAUUACAGACUAUAGUUUUACUACUAAAAUUAUUUCAACUAAGUGCUGGAAGCCCUAGAAUAAUAUAAUGCUCAUCGCAAAUGAAUUGUUCUCAUGAUUUAAACUCAAAGCUUUCAAAUCCCUAGCACAGGCUUUUGUUCUUCCUAACCCAAAGCAGCAGCUCUGCUUUUGAGACUCUCUUAUAGCACAUGCACACUAAA